rnacentral:rRNA from 1 species
UGGCUCAGAACGAACGCUGGCGGCGUGCUUAACACAUGCAAGUCGAGCGGAAAGGCCCUUCGGGGUACUCGAGCGGCGAACGGGUGAGUAACACGUGAGCAAUCUGCCCUUAGCUUCGGGAUAGCUCCGGGAAACCGGAAUUAAUACCGAAUACGACCACGGCCGACAUCAGCUGUGGUGGAAAGUUUUUCGGCUAGGGAUGAGCUCGCGGCCUAUCAGCUUGUUGGUGGGGUAACGGCCUACCAGGGAGACGACGGGUAGCCGGCCUGAGAGGGCGACCGGCCACACUGUGUCUGAGACACGGGACGGACUCCUACG